rnacentral:rRNA from 1 species
GACGUAGGGCGCGAGCGUUGUCCGGAUUUAUUGGGCGUAAAGAGCUCGUAGGCGGCUUGUCGCGUCGUCCGUGAAAACCUGCGGCUCAACUGCAGGCUGGCGGUCGAUACGGGCAGGCUGGAGUUCGGUAGGGGAGACUGGAAUUCCUGGUGUAGCGGUGAAAUGCGCAGAUAUCAGGAGGAACACCGGUGGCGAAGGCGGAUCUCUGGGCCGAUACUGACGCUGAGGAGCGAAAGCGUGGGGAGCGAACAGG